UGGGGAAUCUUGGACAAUGGGCGCAAGCCUGAUCCAGCCAUCCCGCGUGCAGGAUGAAGGAUCUAUGGUUCGUAAACUGCUUUUGUUAGGGAAGAAAAAGACGCAUUCAUGCGUAACUGACGGUACCUAACGAAUAAGCACCGGCUAACUCCGUG
rnacentral:rRNA from 1 species